rnacentral:rRNA from 1 species
UACGGGGGGAGCAAGCGUUGUUCGGAUUUACUGGGCGUAAAGGGCGCGUAGGCGGCCACCGCAAGUCGGUUGUGAAAUCUCCGGGCUUAACCCGGAAAGGUCAACCGAUACUGCGGGGCUAGAGUGCAGAAGGGGCAACUGGAAUUCUCGGUGUAGCGGUGAAAUGCGCAGAUAUCGGGAGGAACACCGGUGGCGAAGGCGGUUCUCUGGGCCUUACCUGACGCUGAGGAGCGAAAGCGUGGGGAGCGAACAGG